AUUAGUCAAUGCUCGCAAGAGUGAACUAGCUAACUGAAAUCAUAUUUGUGUCAAAUGUGAUGUCGUAAGGGAAAAUAAUGAUGUUACCUUACUAAUAGUGUCGUCUAAAACUGGUGCCAGAAGACUCGGUAAGGCCAGAGACACAAAUGUUAAUCGUCUUAAUCAGGCGUAAAGGGUUUGUAGGCUGCUUUGAAAAUAUUAAUUUAUUAUAGCCGUCUCUUAUCUUAUUUUUUAUAUAAGAUAUAGGGAAAGUAAAUUAAUAUCAAUUAAAGCUAGAAUCUAAUAGGGGAUAUUUACGAUAUAAUGCUUGGUUGAGGGCUGAGAUCCGUAGACACUGAGUGGAAUACUAAGGGCGUAAGCAUUUAUCCAUUAAAGAUUGACGCUGAGAAACGAAGGUGAGGAUAGGAAAUAGGAUUAGAUACCCAGAUACCCCUCUCUGUCAACGAUGAAUGGUAGUUUGUUAGUCUAAUUACAGACUAGUGACGAAGUUAACGCGUUAACCAUUCCGCCUUGUGAGUACGACUGCAAAGUUGAAAACAAAAAAAUUAGUCGGUCUCGGAGCAAACGAAGUGAAGUAUGUUAUUUA
rnacentral:rRNA from 1 species